rnacentral:rRNA from 1 species
UACGGAGGGUGCAAGCGUUAUCCGGAUUCACUGGGUUUAAAGGGUGCGUAGGUGGCUUUGUAAGUCAGUGGUGAAAGCCUGGAGCUCAACUCUAGAACUGCCAUUGAUACUGCUUAGCUUGAAUCAGGUCGAGGUGGAUGGAAUAUGACAUGUAGCGGUGAAAUGCUUAGAUAUGUUAUAGAACACCGAUUGCGAAGGCAGUUCACUGGACCUGUAUUGACACUGAGGCACGAAAGCGUGGGGAUCAAACAGG